rnacentral:rRNA from 1 species
UCCGGCGACCGGCGCACGGGUGAGUAACACGUAUGCAACCUGCCCUCUUCAGGGGGACAACCUUCCGAAAGGGAGGCUAAUCCCGCGUAUAUCGGUUUCGGGCAUCCGAGAUCGAGGAAAGAUUCAUCGGAAGAGGAUGGGCAUGCGGCGCAUUAGCUAGACGGCGGGGUAACGGCCCACCGUGGCGACGAUGCGUAGGGGUUCUGAGAGGAAGGUCCCCCACACUGGUACUGAGACACGGACCAGACUCCUACGGGAGGCAGCAG